rnacentral:rRNA from 1 species
UCCAGCAGCCAUAUCAAGCUACAACUCACAACUGGCAACCCACUGAAGCUAAGCAGGUAUCAGCCUGUUCAGUGCCUGGAUGAGAGACCUUGUGGGAAAAGCUAAGGUUGCUGCUGGAA